AUGGCACCCAUGAGCAAUGCGACCAGGAAGGCUGUGGUUUUUGUGCUUCUUAUGGUUAUGGCUUCCACCCUAUCAUCAUCGUCUUGCUACGCCCGCACAAUUGAAGAUGGAGCCAAUCCUCCAUUGUACUGCUUCUAUGUGGAAAAGUGCAAAGAACGUUGCCAGAUCGCAUGCAGCCUCAGCUUUAAGCCCUCAACUGGGCCGUAUUGCAAGCACAAUCAGUGUUGUUGUGCCUAG
rnacentral:rRNA from 1 species